rnacentral:tRNA from 1 species
GGAACAGUGUCUCAGUGGUCAAGAAUCUGCUUGUCAUGCAGAAGACCCUCAGUUCAAUCCCCGGUAUUUCCA